UGGUAGCCUUAGGGUAGUGACAGCCCUAACGGUCGACGUAUUCCACCACGUUCGGAUCGAUGUUUGUAGGACCGUAGUCAGAUCUUCCUAGCCCCCUUCUCAUCUCUUUCUGUGGUUAGUGCUCUGAUGUCCCGAUAUAGAUAAUCUUGAAGUAAUUCUUGAUUCUUAGAUCAACUAGAGAACUCUCAGGAAACUUCCUCUCUUCCCACCAAAAAUAUUCAUAUAGUUAUCUUUGGGCGAUCUUGGAUCUUAAUUAGUACACUCACGUUCUCUGUGGAAAAUCGAUACUCUAGAAUACUCCCGGGUGAAGGCUACAUCGGUAUCCGUGCGCUUGCGGAUUUUUCUGUUUGCGUUUAAAAUACCCAACAAUGUGUUUAUAGUGGUUCGUCUAAUAUGAUCUUUGCAUGCAUAUAGGAUUUGUCACGCCUUGCUAGAGGCCGCUGUCAACUAUUGGGUAAGUAGGAGAACUUGGCUUAUGUCUAUAUGUAUAUGAACCCAUAGGGUUGCAUGCUUAAGGGGCUAGAAGCCUAAUUUGGGUUGGACCCAAUUUAGACAAGGCUUAGGGUUUUCUAAUUGGGCCUCCAACUCAGGGAUGAUUAGGGAACACCUAUAAAAGAGUUGGUGGGGGCAGCUCGGGUCGACACACGUCAUUUGGCAGCC
rnacentral:lncRNA from 1 species